rnacentral:rRNA from 1 species
AAAAGGUGGCUAUGCUACCGCUUUUGGAUGCCGCCGCGGCGCAUUAGCUAGUUGGUGGGGUAAAGGCUUACCAAGGCAAUGAUGCGUAGCCGAACUGAGAGGUUGAUCAGCCACAUUGGGACUGAGACACGGCCCAAACUCCUACGGGAGGCAGCAGUAGGGAAUCUUCCACAAUGGGCGAAAGCCUGAUGGAGCAACGCCGCGUGGGUGAAGAAGGUCUUCGGAUCGUAAAACCCUGUUGUUAGAGAAGAAAGUGCGUGAGAGUAACUGUUCACGUUUCGACGGUAUCUAACCAGAAAGCCACGGCUAACUACGUGCCAGCAGCCGCGGUAAUACGUAGGUGGCAAGCGUUAUCCGGAUUUAUUGGGCGUAAAGGGAACGCAGGCGGUCUUUUAAGUCUGAUGUGAAAGCCUUCGGCUUAACCGGAGUAGUGCAUUGGAAACUGGGAGACUUGAGUGCAGAAGAGGAGAGUGGAACUCCAUGUGUAGCGGUGAAAUGCGUAGAUAUAUGGAAGAACACCAGUGGCGAAAGCGGCUCUCUGGUCUGUAACUGACGCUGAGGUUCGAAAGCGUGGGUAGCAAACAGGAUUAGAUACCCUGGUAGUCCACGCCGUAAACGAUGAAUGCUAAGUGUUGGAGGGUUUCCGCCCUUCA